GUCCUGCAGGCAGGCGCCGCGCGAGUCCUCUUUCGCUGGCGGCUCCGUGGUAAAGGUGCCGGACGCUUGGCAGACAGGACAGGACCAGUCUCACGCGUGUCACGGAACUCACACCUCACCCUCCAAUUUGUACAAAGGGAACCAGAUGGACCACGAACAGCCCACGGAGGGGGAGGGUCUCUGGGUGUGGCAUGUCGUGCCCCCUCUUCUCCACGGGAGCCCAGCUGGGUGACGGGACGUGCCCACAGGCCCCUGGCGUUCCCUCUGCUUCGCUCUGAGUGCUCGCCUGGGGAGGGUUGCAUGUGCUAAACCUGCAUCGAAUCCUGUCUUCAUGACUUGCAGAGUGUCGGUCCUGCCCAGAGGGCCGAGAGCCGGGCUGCAGCCACUCCGCCCCAGAGCACCCGGAGAGGCCCCCGGAGCGGAGGGAGGACCUGGGGACGAUGAGAACCCUGACCCCGCACCACACCCAGCGGGGACGCGUGGGAGAGGCAGGGGUGCCCAGGUCUCAGCAGGGGCCGGGGGCGAUGGGCGUGUGUCCCCUUCCUCCCGAGGGGCCGCCCCCAGCAGAGGGACCCGCCCUCCUCUCUCUUCUCUUUGGUGCUUUACUUCCCUCCCUCUCGGCUUCCAGGGCUCUCACAGCAGGAACUGUCUCCCCGAUGUCCCUGCGCCCACCGAGCGCCCUACACACACUAGGGACCGACACACGCCGGCGGGGCGAGCGGUGAGCCGUCAGGGCAGGGGACGCAGGAGCUCCGAGCCUCGUACAAACUCUGCGGGCACGGCAGGCUUGGGGGAGCAGGCUCGCCGGUCUGCCGGCCUUUCUGGAGGAGCCGGAGCCUGGGAGGGCUGGCCUGCCUCACCUGGGCAGGUGACGUCGCCCACCGCCGGGCCAGAUUGAUAGCAAAUGCUCACUCGACCAGAGGAGGGUUUAGUGGCUCUCAGAAGCCCUGGUCUCCACGUCCUGGUCCCUCAUCUGUUGAAACUACUGGGAGUUCUUCUUCUGGGAUCUUAAUUCCCCGACCGGGGAUGGAACCCACGUCCCCUCCGCAGUGGAAGUGUGGAGCCUUAACCACCGGACCGCCAGGGAAGUCCCAACUUUUUUUUAAUUGGAAAAAGUAAUAAGGGGAAAUAGCUAUGGAAAGAGAGUAAAUUUUUAAAAAUCAGAAUUGAUUAUUGUCAAAAUCAAUUUAAACCUCUGUCAGAUGGAAAACUUUAUAGAAAAAUAUACUUUACCAAAUGGAACUUGAAGACAUAUAAACUUUAAAUAGACCACUUUCCAUGGAAAAAAAUAGUGGAAUUUUUCAAAGACCUACCUCUGAAAAAAGCACCAGACCUGCCCUUUAAGCUGUUUUAGCGCAUAGAAUAGGAAUAGACAAUUCUAGAUUCUUUUUACAAAUUGCAUAUAACAUCAAAGUCUGGAAUGCAUCAAAAAUAAAACAGGCCAGUCUUGCAUCAUGAAUAUUGAUGCAAAAGCCUUUUUAACAUCUUAGCUAACAGAAUCCAGCAACACAUUAGGACCAAAUGGGGCUGUGAUGAUCAGAUAUUAGAAGACCUGCAAAUAUCGUAAUACGUUCUCAAUAGAUGCUGAAAAGCCAACUGACAUAUUUCAAGGAUAACUUGUCUCUUCUGUAAAAAGGGGGGGCAGACUUGUGUUUUCUUGUAUAAUAUUUCUUGUAUGUAAAUUAAAAGAAAAAAACCUCUGGAAGCAUGCACAAAAAAGUGUUACAGCUGAUUACCUCUUGAAGGAAUGGAACGGGGAAAGUUCGCAGGCGGGAUAAUUUUCACUCUCUACCUUUCUAUGUGUUUAUUAAACCAUAUGGAUAUAUUAUUCAGAACUGUUAACUAAAUAAUAGGUCAAUUUAUGCCAACUAUGUAGACGAGAAAGCAACGAAAGGGAAGAUUAUCAACUAAACACCGAUAAAUUCAAGAACCUAAGUAAAACAAACAUUUCUGGGAAAAUAAAGAAUGCCAAAAUUAGUGUGAGAAGAAACCGAAAAUGUGAUAGUCCAAUACCCACUGGAGAAUUAGGGCUGCAAUCAGAGACUUAGGGCCACCAAGGCCACAGCCCCCACCACGUCAGAUGCACUUUAUUACCCUCUUCUAUGGGACACGCAGCAGAGGAGCUGGUGCACUUCUCCAAGACCAGGAGCAAUAAGGGUGACCUCCACCCCCACUGCGUUUCAAAAGAGCUUUGUAGGUUCCUGACUCCAAAGUAAAGGAGUUAGGAGUAGACGGAUGGUUGGAUCAUCUACAGCCAAUGCACAGGAUCAAUCGACAAACGAUCUGACCUGACCCAGGAGAGAGUCAGUAUUAUAGUGUUGUCCUCUACCGGCAGCAGCCAGGUGUAAUAGGAACAGACUCUCCAGAGCUGUGACAUAGGAAGAGGAGCCGUUCUUGCCGCUACUGACUCCGAGAUACGGCGUGGCCAAAAGGCAGGGGGCUGGUUUGCAAGGACAGGCAGGGAGAGCCAAAGUGCAGCCCCACACGUGGGACCAGCUCUAUGCCAGAUAUCCAUGGAGAAAGGAUGCUCCGUCCAGUCAGAGGUGUGAACACUGGCUACUACCUGUGGCAUCCCUGCCUCACACCGUAUGCAAAAAGGGGGAGCUGGAAUAAAGCUCCAAAAGUGACAUCAUAAUCCUUGAAGCUUGAAUCCUUGAACAGAGGAAAAUGUAGGACUGUCUUCACAACGCAAAGACCACAAACCGUAAGGUGAAAACCUGCUGGGUCUGCCUGCGUCAAAGUUAGAUGCGUGUGUUCCGUGGAGGGCAUUGCAGGCAACACUGCAGAUGAGCAACAGGCGGAGGGGAGCCGUUUCCAUCGUCAGAAACCUGCCAGGGUCUCUGCCCUGAAGAACCCACCAGAGCUCCCGCCCACCACCAGGCAAGGGGGAGCCGGGACUGGGGCAGAGGAGGUGGGUGGGCGAUGCACAGAGGGGCACUCAGGUGAGUGAGCAGCCUCACCGUAACGGGGAGUGGGGGCAGGCAAGGGCAAGCAGCAGGCCGUCACUUCACGCCCAGCAGAGGGAGGGAGAAGGCGGGGUGCUGGGAAGCACCGCCCGGCGGGGGGACCGGCAUCGCGGGCAUCUGGAGAGCAGUGGAGAAGAACCUGGGUGACGGGCACUUACCCUGCCCCCGGGGCACCAUCGGGGGAUGCAGGCAGAGGACCAGAGAGACGGGCUCGCCUAUCACUGCCGCCUUCUCUGGGGAGGAGGAUGGUGGUGGCCACUGGCUGGAGGUGAGGUGGUGCCUGACCCGCCCCCAGAGGCAGUGAGCGGGGCAGCCCUUCACCCCUGUGCACGUGGCAACCACUAGGCCUGCUUUUAAGACAUGCGGCACCCAGGCUGCACCCCAGAUGACGUCAGUCACAGUCUCUGGGGCUGGGACCAGACACAAUUUGUUCUGAAACCCCAGGCUAUUCCAAACGCAGCGGGUUUGAGAACCAGCAAACCGGCUGUGUGACAAUAGCGUAAAUCUGGACGUAGCUUUAAAACAGUGUUAAGUUAAAAAAAUCAACAAUUAUGAGUAAGAUCAUUGCAAAUAUCAAUUAUGCCACUAAAAUCAGUUCAGGAAGCACCCUGUGUGUUCGCACGGUUCAUACACAAACAAGGACAUACCCAGUCACAUUGGGGGACUACAUGGAACUCGCUGGAGGAACAGGGCAGGGCAUAAAGCAACGUAGCUGGACCAGAAGUGACCCACUGGAACAGCGCACGUUCCAGAAGUGAGAGGUUUGAUGAACUCUGCACCCAAGCUCCAAAAGUAAGCAAAAGUCAGAAGUGAAACCAUAAAGGAUUAGAAUAAAAUACGGAUGGGUAUUUUUACAUAGUGUAAUCAACAUAUCGGUUUGGGCAUAAGACAUAAAGAAGAGAUCAGUGUUAUUUUCAGUGUUAAAACCAUUUUAAAAAGCUCCGUCUCUUCACACCCGACCUGAAAUGCUGUCUCAGUCAACAGUGACUUCCUGAAAUCCUGGAGUCCACUGCCGGCUUCGCACCCCUGCCACGCGGGGUUUCAUAUAUUUUAACAUCUCUUAGGGAAAGUCACUCCUUACUCUGUCUUUUUAGGACUUCCCUGGCUAUUAUUGGAUUCUUUUCUCCAGAUAAACUGAAGAAUUAUAUUGUUACAAGUUUCCAACAACGACCAUUGGGACUCACUUUACAGGCCAGUUUGAAGGAUGUUGUUCACUGAACACUGCGGACAAGUGUCGCACCUUCUCACGUGGCCUCUGGUGUGUUUGCUUUACCCUUUGUCUUACUGAACAUUUCAUAAAGCUGGUACCACGUGCUGUUGAAGCCCGAAUGAAUGAACUGGAUCCUUCCUGCACAUCACCACACACAGGUGCGGGGAUGCCACACCACAGCCCCUGGGGCAGUUCCUGUGGCAGCCCCGUAGCCUGGCCCGCACCUUCAGCAAACAGCCACUCGUCACACUGGGAGGCGGUCAGGGCCACCACGUCUGCUCGAGAGCCUGUCUUUGUCCACAAGGCCCCUGUGACAGGGCAGGAGGGGACACCGUGCUCUCAGGCAGGUUGUCCUGGGGACCUGAGUGCUGGUGAGAGAGUCAGGCUCAGAAACGAGGAGCCCACGUCCGCUCACGGGAAGCACGUGACUCCUCCCAAAUCAAGUUGCAUUUGCAGACAGUUGCUGGGACGGGGCGUAGCCGUCGAGCGGUGGUGAGGGCCCAGUGGGGUGUGGACCCGCCCCGUCUGGCUGGUCCACAGGGACCCGCGGGGUGGCUCCUGGAGACCUGCAUUCCUUUCGUGCAUUUGCUUUUCUUAUUUUCAUGCAUUUAUCAGUUGUUCCUUCCCUACAGCGAGGAUGACGAGAGCAGUUCUCAAGCUGCCGUCCGCUCUCCCCUGAAUGGCCGUCAGCCGGGAAGUCGCGGGCUCUGUGGCCCGCACGGCAAACAUCUGCUUUGUCCUUGUGGGCGCUGCCUUUUGAAACGGGAAUAAGUAAAAGUUGUUCUGGUUCACUUGCUAUACUUUCUCUUCCUCUCGACUUUGGUAGGAAUUGUUUCUUCCUGCUGCCAUCGAGCUCUAAAAGAUGCCGUCAGAGGGAAACGUCAGCCCGCUCCCCGUGAAAGCCACAGCGGCGUGAAGCGGGCAGAGAGGGAGGAUCAGGCCAGAAUGUGUCUGUAAAAACAGCCUAGUCUGAACGUUUUCAAAUAAAGGAUUCA